UACAGAGGUCCCAAGCGGUGUUCGGAUUCAUUGGGCGUAAAGGGUGCGUAGGUGGCGUCGUAAGUCGGGUGUGAAAUUUCGGAGCUCAACUCCGAAACUGCAUUCGAUACUGCGGUGCUUGAGGACUGGAGAGGAGACUGGAAUUUACGGUGUAGCAGUGAAAUGCGUAGAGAUCGUAAGGAAGACCAGUGGCGAAGGCGGGUCUCUGGACAGUUCCUGACACUGAGGCACGAAGGCCAGGGGAGCAAACGGG
rnacentral:rRNA from 1 species